GGAGGCACCGGGGGUGCGCUGGGGGCCGCGGCGUGGGUAGACCCGGGGGUGCGGCUGGAUGCCGGGGUGCGGGGAGGCCCGCAAGUGGUCCGGGGGUGCAGAGCGGCAUCGGGGCCGCGGGACGCGGAGGGCACGAGCCGGGCGCUGUGCGGCCGGAGGCACGGCCCGCUGCGCUGCGGCCCCUCGAGAGCCCCCGGUGGGGGUAAGCGGGACAGCACGGGCCGAGAGGUGACGGAGCGGCGCUGCGGGGCUGCGGAGCGGCCCGGGACCCCGGGUGGCGGAGGGCCGGGCUCGCGGGAAGGCCGGGCUGGAGCGGGCCCCGCCGCCCGUUGCUAAGGCCGGGCCCCGCGUUGCUAGGGGGCGUGUCUGCUCCCGCGCAACUCUCGCGAGAUCUGCCCGAGCGUUGCCUGGGAGACCGCGCAGCUGCUGUCGCCGCCAUGGCACCCAAAAAGCAAGCUGGAAAAAAGGGGAAAGGGGGCAAAGCCCCAGCAGCGGUGGAUGCUGUGUCCCUGGCAGAGAUGAGCAAGGAGCAGCUGCAGGAGCACAUCACACGUCUCCGGAAGGAGCUGGACCGGGAACGGGAAGAGCGCAACUACUUCCAGCUGGAGCGUGACAAGAUUCACACCUUCUGGGAGAUCACCCGACGGCAGCUGGAGGAGAAGAAAGCGGAGCUGCGUAACAAGGACAGGGAGAUGGAGGAGGCAGAGGAGCGGCACCAAGUGGAGAUCAAGGUUUACAAGCAGAAGGUGAAGCACUUGUUGUAUGAACACCAGGAAAACCUGACCGAGCUGAAAGCAGAGGGUACCUUGUCCAUGAAACGGGCCCAGAAGGAUCACUGGGCUCAGGAGACAGAGCUGCGCAAAGAGAUGCGUUCCUUGAAAGUGGACCUGAAGGAGCAAGAGCUGGCCAACGAGGUGGUGGUGAAAAACCUGCGCCUGAAACAAGAGGAGGAGAUCACACAGCUAUGCAAUGACUUUGAGAGACAAGUGAAAGAGAUGGAGGCCAAGUACAACAAGAAGAUGCAAGCGCUGCGGGAGGAGCUUGAGUUGCGCCGAAAGACUGAGAUCCAUGAAGUCGAGGAGAGGAAGAACAGCCAGAUCAAUGAGCUGAUGAAGAACCACGAGAAAGCCUUCCAUGACUUCAAGAACUACCACGACGAUGUCACCUUCCAAAACCUGGCACUCAUCAGCUUGCUGAAGGAACAGAUGGAGGAGAUGAAGAAGAGAGAGACUCACUUGGAAAAGGAGAAGGCAGAUGUCCUGCUCCAGAACAAGCAACUGAAGGAACCCCUGCAGCAGGCCCAGGAGCAGGUGUUGGAGCUGCAGAAGAAGUUGGCCCACUACAAUAAGGACAAGGAAGCUCUGAUGAAUACAAAAGCCCAUCUGAAAGUCACCCAGAAGGAACUGAAAGACCUUCAAUGGGAGCAUGAAGUGCUGGAGCAGCGGUUCAGUAAGGUGCAGGCAGAGCGAGAUGAGCUCUACCAGAAGUUCACCAAAGCCAUUAACGAAGUGCAGCAGAAGACUGGGUUCAAGAACUUGCUCCUGGAACGCAAGCUGAAAGGACUCCUCGAUGUCCUGGAGAAAAAGGAGGUGGAGCUCAGUGAGGUCUUUGCAACCUCCAACCUGGAUCCAGGCGCCCUCUCCUUGGUCUCACACAAGCUGGAGGUACUGUGCACUGCUGCAGGGCCCUGUGGAAGCUGUCCUUCCUUCCUCUUGAAGGGCAGAGGCUGCUCUGGUGGUCGCUCUGAGACAAACGCAGACCUUAGAGGUGUGAGCAUGGUCCUGAGGUGCAUGGGCAGCAGAAGGGCAGAGCCUGGCUGUGUGGCAGGAAACAGUCCCUGUCUUCUCUGCACUGUUGCAUACCUGCCUGUAUGGCCAGUCCCCAGCCUCAGAACACUGCAGAAAGCACCUCAGCCUGCUCUGCUGUUGGCGGCACCACGUAGGAAGCUGGGCUGUGAUUGCUGUGGCAGUCGUUCCCAGCACACCCAUGACUGCGGUGCCGCAGGGCGCUCCGGCUCUCCCUCGAGAGUGGCAUGUGGGCGUUUGGCACUGAUCUGUAGCUCAGGUGGAGUCUGUUUCAAGGAGAGUGGCCCCAGGCAGCACUGCUCAGGUCUCUGUGCUGACAGGUGGCAUGUGGCAUUUGGAUGUGCUGCCGAGCAGUGGGCUGUAUGAAGGGCCUGUCUCAGCGACCCCGGCACUCUGUGUGCAGGGAGCCACUGCUGGUGAACCUCAGCCAUGCCUCUCUCCUGGCCUCGCUGGCUGCAGAGGCAGCACAGACAGGUUCCCAGUGGCUCUGCAAUGUCUGGCAUGCUAAAAAUACAUAUGCAGAGAGCGUUGGCGCGGUGCGGCGGCUCAGAGACCUGCAUUCCUAGGGCAUACAACAGCAGUAACUGGAGAAGCAGCAUUUGCUUCACAGUGGCUUCAGACAAAAGGGAUGCAGGUUCCCUGCUCGGCUUGGCCGCUGCUUGCCUUCUGUCCUCCUGCUUGUACUGCUCUGUUCCUGGUCCCCUCAGUGGUGGUGACAGCGAUGCUCGUGGAAUCCCCCUUGCCAUGGAGCUCUAGCGAUGAACACAACAACAGCCCCAGGCUUUCAGUCUGUGUGACAAGACGGUGGAUUUGUCACCUACAAGCAGGUGCCACAGCAGCAGACUAGGAAACACAUUCCUGGGAAGGCGUCGAGGCGUCGCGCUCUCCCCCAGCUGCUGGGGUCCCUGAAUUCCUUUGCUCAGCUGCCUCCAAUCACCGGCGUCAUCGUGGGGAGACUCUCCCUGUAAUUCCCCCGGUGCUGUGGUGGCAGGGAGGUGCUGCAGCAGCAGGUGCUGCCAUCCGCCCCCCCUUGCAGCGAGGCAGGUGAUGCUGAUGGUGGGGCUCUGCUGGCAUUCCUGCUCAUGGUCUGGGAGGUCCCUGCGCCUUGCCUCUGCCUGGGGCUGGCUGUCCCUGGCAGCGCUGGCUCCAGGGUGGUGACUGUCUGCCCGGCCAUGUCCCAGUGCAGGCAUCUGCUCAGCGUGCUGUGCCACAUGCUCUGGCCUGCAGCAUGGCCCCAGGCUGAUGUGCCCUUGGUGCCAGCAACUCAAGUCUAACACAGCUGUCCCCGCUUGCAGGAUGUGCUCAAUUCCAAGAACGCCACUAUUGAGGACCUGCAAUUCCAGCUGGCCCGAGCCUGCAAGGCACACAACGACAUGCUGCAGACAUUGGAGGCAAAGCUGACGUCCUUUGGGAUCCCAC